rnacentral:rRNA from 1 species
UUUAGUAAUUGCGAAUGAACAAGGAUAUGCUUAGCUUGACAAAUGGAGCUAUUGGCUUUGAAUUGUAUUGUGGAAAUGUAUUACCAACAGAGGUGCAGGUGCCAGCCUAUUGAAAUAAAGCGUCAAUGAGGGUGAGAAUCCUGUUUGUCAUGUGCAGCCCUUUGUGCACGGUGUAUAUUUGCUGAGUCACACUCCUUGGCAUUGGAAUGCAAAGUGGGUGGUAAGUUUCAUGUAAAGGUAAACAUGCAAUUGAGACUGAUAGCACACAAGUACCAUGAGGGAAAUAUGAAAAGGACUUUGAAAAGAGAAUUAAAUGAGUUUGUAUUUGCUGAACACAAAGUAAACAGACUUGAUUUGCUUGGUGGGAGUGUUGCACUUGCUUGACAAGAGCUUUGGGCUGUGGGUGUAAUGAUUCUUUCUUUGCAUGCCAGUUUCUAUUUGUACAUCUGAUUACCUUUGCACAUGAAUGAUAAGUCUCCUGUGGGGGGUGGAUUGCAUGUGCAUGUAAUGAUUUGUGUUUUGAUAAAUGUGUCUGGUGUAUGUGUGUGUUCCUGUGCUUGGGGAUGCUUCCUUCCUUGGACUUACAAGCCCUGACACACACAUGCUGGCAAAAUGCUUCUGCUUGACCCGUCUUGAAACACGGACCAAGGAGUCUAACAGAUGUGCAAAGUUUGAAGGUGGUAUACCUUUGUGUGCAAUGAAAGUGUCAGCUGGGAUAUGUGCACCAGCACCCAAUUAAUUAGCGGACAGAGGUUUGAGUUGGAGCAUAUCUAUUAGGACCCGAAAGAUGGUGAACUAUGCCUGAACAGAAUGAAUUCAGAGGAAACUCUGAUGGAGGUUCGUAUCGAUACUGACGUGCAAAUCGUUCGUCAUAUUUGGGUAUAGGGGGAAAGACUAAUCGAACCAUCUAGUAGCUGGUUCCCUCCGAAGUUUCCCUCAGGAUAGCUGGAGUUGCUCAGUUUUAUCAGGUAAAGCGAAUGAUUAGAGGAAUUGGGGACAGGUUUGUCUUUGACCUAUUCUCAAACUUUAAAUGGGUAAUAUGUAGUGGUUGCUGUAUGGAA